GACAAACGCUGGCGGCGUGCUUAACACAUGCAAGUCGAACGGUUCUCCUUCGGGAGAAUAGUGGCGGACGGGUGAGUAACACGUAGACAACCUGCCUCGUAGUGGGGAAUAACAUCUCGAAAGAGAUGCUAAUACCGCAUAAGUUCUAUGUUGUUGAACAUAGAGGAAACGCCCUCACGGGUGGCUAUGAGAGGGGUCUGCGGCGGAUUAGCUAGUUGGAGAGGGUAACGGCCUCCCAAGGCGACGAUCCGUAGCUGGUCUAAGAGGACGAUCAGCCACACUGGGACUGAGACACGGCCCAGACUCCUACGGGAGGCAGCAGUGAGGAAUAUUCCACAAUGGGCGAAAGCCUGAUGGAGCGACGCCGCGUGAAGGAAGAAGGCC
rnacentral:rRNA from 1 species